CGCUAAGAAGCUAUGAAACAGCACUAGCCUUUUAAGCUAGAGACAGAGGACAUACCCUCCUUAGCGA
rnacentral:tRNA from 1 species